AUCCCAGAUAGUGUUGUUUUCUGUCUAUCUGAUUCAUGGGAGGCAUAUAUCAAAAUGGGAGUUUGCUGAUAACACCUUUUUUAGAAAGGUGUUUUACUAGUACCUCACCAUACAUGU
rfam:Populus trichocarpa isolate Nisqually-1 chromosome 4, whole genome shotgun sequence.